CUCACAGAACGGCAUCCUGAAUUCUGAGCCUGGGUGCGACCCCUCGGGCACCGGCUGCAUGGCCGCCUGUCGCUCCCCCUGUCUGCUCGUCCCCACCACAGCCUAGUCUGGGCCCUGCUUUGAGGACUCGGGUGACCCGAGACCUGCUCCAGGCAUGACAACAGAGCUGCUGGAGAAGCCAGCCACAGGAGGGGCGGGCGGCCUCACCCUGCUCCCACACUUCAAUGCGCACAGUGUCCAGACCGCAGGGAGGCAUCCAGGGAGGAUGCUCCGGGCCGUGGCGGGGGCUCAUUGCGGGCUGAGUACUCAGGGAUAAAGCUCUCACUUCUGUGCCAAAAGCUGCUGGGACUCGGAUCUGUCAGCACAGCGCUCCAGAAAUUCUGGGAGCCCCACACCUUCCUAAGUCUGAGCAGCGGCAUGGCUGCCCGACAUUACUCAGCCUCCUCUGCAAGCUCAUGUCCACAGCAUCUGCUGAAAGGGAGAAGGCCGCUACGAGACCCAGAGUGUGCGGCUUGCCCCAAAUCAAGCGCGGCUCCUUCGACUCAGGCCUCUCCCUGCACCCCAGUCACAGGAGUUGACAGGCACUGCCUCCAAGUCACUGCUGGCCACCCUGCACGGCUGUCAGGGUCACUCUGGGCCACAGCCUCCAAUGGCUACCUUGUGCUCGCUGUCCCUGCCGGGCUCCCCAUCUCCGUGGCCCAGAGCUGGUGCCUCUGCUGGACUGGGCCGCGUCUGAGCUCCGUCACUAGGGGCACGUUUCUCCAGAGCACAGCAUCUCCAUCCCUCACCUGGCGUAUGGCACUUCACAUGAAAAUCUGGUCUUGGCUUCCUGAUGCCACUGUGACAAAUUCCACAACACUGUGACUUUGAAGGACAGAGUCCCACGAGGAAUCAUGAAACGACUGAGCUUCAAUCACAACCCCCAUGCUCACAAAGCUCCUGCUGGUCCACAGCCCAGGAGUGGUUGGAGUGACACCAACCACUGCAGACCAGUGAACCGACCCAGAGUGAACGGCUUGCUCAAGAAACUCCAAGAAUAACUGUCCGACUAACGGGGUGUGGGCUGCAUACUUCUUGGUUCGGUGUACUUGUACAUAUGC